CAUCCGUUGAGUUGCCGCCAGGCCCUGGACUGACACCUCUCAAAGCCACAGCCCCGCCUCAGACCGCUCUCUGAACUUAGAUUUGUACAUCCAUCGGCCUUCUCAGCAUCUCCAUUGAGAAGUCUGGUGUACAAUAAAGCAGUUCGACCAUUGUAUACAUUACUCAGUGCUCAUCAUGAUAUCUUCUGAACACCCAAUAUGGACACAGCCGUUGCCCUCAAGGAGAAGGAUACCUGCAAACAGGUGGCCCCGAUCAAGGAGGAAAUACGCAAGUAGCACAAGCCUUCAUCUCUCUCCUGUGAGCCGCUCAAGAGAGCAAGAGGCGCCCGAGCACCCACUUCCUGGAAAAGGAGGGAAAUGAAAGAGUUAAAUGGCAAGAAGAGAGAUCUGUUCCGGAAUCUCCCUAAGCCCUGAGGCUUCUGCACCAGAGACCCCCUGCCUUGCUGUCCGGCUCCAGACGCUCACACACACAACACACACACUGCCGAGCGCCACAGUUCGUUACCCACCUGCCCCCCAUACGGCAGUUUCCACACAGCCUCCCUCGAACCCCUGGUUCAGGGGGCAGCUCCUCCUGUCACAGCCGCUUUUGUGCCAAGAACAGA